UACGUAGGGCGCAAGCGUUGUCCGGAAUUAUUGGGCGUAAAGAGCUCGUAGGUGGCUUGUCACGUCGGGUGUGAAAACCCGGAGCUCAACUCCGGGCCUGCAGUCGAUACGGGCAAACUGGAGUGUUGCAGGGGGAGACUGGAAUUCCUGGUGUAGCGGUGAAAUGCGCAGAUAUCAGGAGGAACACCGGUGGCGAAGGCGGGUCUCUGGGCAACAACUGACGCUGAGGAGCGAAAGCGUGGGGAGCGAACAGG
rnacentral:rRNA from 1 species